rnacentral:lncRNA from 1 species
UGUUGAGAGUCAGUGGAUUGUGGAUUAAAGGGGAAACUGUCAAGAGUGGAGUGCAUGGUGACUGAGGAUUGUGUUUAGACCAGCCUCAUUGCAAUUCUUCCUAUUCAUGCAAGUCAGUUCAGAGAUAUGGAGUUUGAUCCCAAUGGUGAUACUUACUUUGAUGAAGCAGUUGAUGGUUUUUGAAGGAUCUCUUCUCUGUUUGGAAGGUGUGAUUCCAUUGAUAAACUCCGUAAAAGGUGUGAGACCAUUGAUAGAGAGAUACAGGACUCACAACAGUUCAAGGACUUCUACCAGUUUACGUUUAAUGUUGCCAAAAACUUGGGCAGAAAGGACUAGGCUAGUGACAUAAUAAUAUUGCAUGUAGAUGUAAAUGUAGGAUCAUGUUUCACACAAUGAUUUCAAUGUACACGUGUUGAUGGGGGAAUUUUGCAAGUGAUGCUACAAAAAGUUGAGAGUACAUGUACAUGUAUAAUUUAAUGUAUAUUGUAUGAAUUGAUUAAAAUCUUUUGUGCUUUUUAUUUCUCUACAAAUCUUGAGAUGUCCAUUGCCUACUGGAAUCUUAUUUUUACUGGUCGCUUCAAAUUUUUGGACUUGUGGUGUGAAUUUUUAAGAUCUCAUUAUAAAAGAGCUGGCAAUACCCAAAGACACUUGGAAGCUUCUGCUAGAGUUUUCUAACAGGAUUGAUGACACCAUGAGCAAUUAUGAUGAAGAUGGCCAUUUGGUUUGUGUUCAAUUUUUUCAACUGAGAGAGUAAGGAAUGAACAUCAUAUCAAUAGUGGAUAAAUCCAUUGAGUUCAUAAAUAGUUUAAAUGAUGAUUUACUUAAGAAGGAGGCCACCACUGACUCAAGGAGUGAGACCUUCUCUUCAAUAAUGAAGG